rnacentral:rRNA from 1 species
UACGUAGGGGGCAAGCGUUGUCCGGAAUUAUUGGGCGUAAAGGGCGCGUAGGCGGGCCUUUAAGUCCGGUGUGAAAGAUCAGGGCUCAACCCUGAGAGUGCAUCGGAAACUGGAGGCCUUGAGGACAGGAGAGGAAAGUGGAAUUCCACGUGUAGCGGUGAAAUGCGUAGAUAUGUGGAGGAACACCAGUGGCGAAGGCGACUUUCUGGACUGUAACUGACGCUGAGGCGCGAAAGCGUGGGGAGCAAACAGG